GCUGUGGUAGCCCAGCUGGUAGAGGCGUCGUCAAUACAGAUGAUGGAGGUCGCAAGUUCAAAACUUGCCAGCUGUG